rnacentral:rRNA from 1 species
AUCGAACGCUGGCGGCAGGCCUAACACAUGCGAGUCGAGCGGAUGAAGGGAGCUUGCUCCUGGAUUCAGCGGCGGCCGGGUGAGUAAUGCCUAGGAAUCUGCCUGGUAGUGGGGGAUAACGUCCGGAAACGGGCGCUAAUACCGCAUACGUCCUGAGGGAGAAAGUGGGGGAUCUUCGGACCUCACGCUAUCAGAUGAGCCUAGGUCGGAUUAGCUAGUUGGUGGGGUAAAGGCCUACCAAGGCGACGAUACGUAACUGGUCUGAGAGGAUGAUCAGGCACACUGGAACUGAGACACGGUCCAGACCCCUACGGUAGGCAGCAGUGGGGAAUAUUAGACGAUGGGCGAGAGCCUGAUCCAGCCAUACCGCGUGUGUGAAGAAGGUCUUCUGAUGGUAAAGCACUUUAAGUUGGGAGAGAGUGCAGUAAUUUAAUACCUUGCUGUUUUGACGUUACCAACAGAAUAAGCACCGGCUAACUUCGUG